CUACGGGAGGCUGCAGUGGGGAAUAUUGCACAAUGGGCGAAAGCCUGAUGCAGCAACGCCGCGUGAGGGACGACGGCCUUCGGGUUGUAAACCUCUUUUAGCAGGGAAGAAGCGAAAGCGACGGUACCUGCAGAAAAAGCACCGGCUAACUACGUGCCAGCAGCCGCGGUAAUACGUAGGGUGCAAGCGUUGUCCGGAAUUAUUGGGCGUAAAGAGCUCGUAGGCGGUUUGUCGCGUCUGCUGUGAAAAUCCGAGGCUCAACCUCGGACCUGCAGUGGGUACGGGCAAACUAGAGUGCGGUAGGGGAGAUUGGAAUUCCUGGUGUAGCGGUGGAAUGCGCAGAUAUCAGGAGGAACACCAAUGGCGAAAGCAGAUCUCUGGGCCGUAACUGACGCUGAGGAGCGAAAGCGUGGGGAGCGAACAGGAUUAGAUACCCGGGUAGUC
rnacentral:rRNA from 1 species